GAUGUUUAAACGACCAACUCCUCAAAUGUGAGUAAAUCAGCCGGCUAACAGAGUCCAGUGACAGCGACGGGGAGGGAAUUAACGACGGUGUUCAGGAUGCAGGUUGUGACUCAUUAGUGGAUUGUGAGACCUUUUUAAAAAGCAAAUGAAAGAGAAAAUGCCAGAAUGCAUUGCAUGUGGAAAGGAUAUAACUUGCUUGAAUGACUGAAACUGCACCUUCUGAAGAUACCUGUGUAAUAAAAGAGUUAUGAAUCCUUUCCUCACAGGCAAAGGACACUUCCCUAAACCUUUUCCCCCUUACCUAAAACUGUACGUAAAUUUUCUGAUUUAUUUUUACUCCCCAAAUUUAUGAAUAACUGACCAGAAAUUUGACUUAAUUGGAAUUGUGUUAAACCUUAUCACAUUCACUAA